ensembl:lncRNA
GGAGGAAGUGCAGUCGGGUUCAGAGGGAGAGCAGCAGCAGGUGCAGAGUGUGCAGACAAGUACAGAGGACAGUGUACCAAAGGAGGAAUGUAAGACAGCGGGAGAAAUGGGAGAACCAAAGGAAGUGGAAGUCAGCUACGAGUCGGUGGAGGAGGAAGUGCAGUCGGGUUCAGAGGGAGAGCAGGUGCAGAGUGUGCAGACAAGUACAGAGGACAGUGUUCCAAAGGAGAGGGAGGAAUGUAAGACAGUGGGGGACAUGGGAGAACCAAAGGAAGUGGAAGUCAGCUACGAGUCGUUGAUGGAGGAAGUGCAGUCGG